UGAGUAAUCUGCCCUUGGCUUUGGGAUAGCCACCGGAAACGGUGAUUAAUACCGGAUACGACCGCUCCUCGCAUGAGGUGGUGGUGGAAAGUUUUUCGGCCAGGGAUGUGCUCGCGGCCUAUCAGCUUGAUGGUGAGGUAAUGGCUCACCAUGGCUUCGACGGGUAGCCGGCCUGAGAGGGUGACCGGUCACACUGGGACUGAGACACGGUCCAGACCUCCGUACGGGAG
rnacentral:rRNA from 1 species